rnacentral:lncRNA from 1 species
CCAAAUGAGCACUUAAUUCAUUAUAAUUGUCUCGUUUCAUAGGACCAUAUAAGCUCGGGCCAUUGGCCCGCUUAUGAGCCCUAAAAUUCUUGGCCCUUGGGUAGGUCUAGGCUCCUGUUUAAGAUAGAGCGGGCCCGAUCGACCUGUUCAAACUUUAGGGUCGAAAAAGCCUGUAACUGAGUAGGAUAUAGGCUAACCUCUCUUAGAGUCGGGUUGGCCCGAUCCCCGGUCCAUUUUAUAGGCCUAUUUUUAAGUUACAAAACCAAUUAAAUUGAAUAGAUGUCUAUUUUUGGAUUGUAAAAAAUGAAAAUUUUCUUCUAGUCAGUCCGACUAUUAUAGCUUUCGCAUGAGUGUGGUAACACUUGAUUAUUAC